UUUCCGUAGGUGAACCUGCGGAAGGAUCAUUAAUGUAACCGGACUGUUCGGGUGCCGUAAUACGCAUCUGUUCGGAAAGGGAGAUAUCAUACACCCUAUGUUUAUUUACUUUUGUUGCUUCGGCGGGCCGUCCUUUUAGGCAUCGGCCCUGGCUGAUCGUGCCCGCCAGAGGACCUAAACUCUUCUAUCAGUGAUGUCUGAGUACUAUAUAAUAGUUAAAACUUUCAACAACGGAUCUCUUGGUCCUG
rnacentral:misc_RNA from 1 species